GAUGAACGCUGGCGGCGUGCCUAAUACAUGCAAGUCGAGCGAACAGAUAAGGAGCUUGCUCCUUUGACGUUAGCGGCGGACGGGUGAGUAACACGUGGGUAACCUACCUAUAAGACUGGGAUAACUUCGGGAAACCGGAGCUAAUACCGGAUAACAUUUGGAACCGCAUGGUUCUAAAGUGAAAGAUGGUUUUGCUAUCACUUAUAGAUGGACCCGCGCCGUAUUAGCUAGUUGGUAAGGUAACGGCUUACCAAGGCGACGAUACGUAGCCGACCUGAGAGGGUGAUCGGCCACACUGGAACUGAGACACGGUCCAGACUCCUACGGGAGGCAGCAGUAGGGAAUCUUCCGCAAUGGGCGCAAGCCUGACGGAGCAACGCCGCGUGAGUGAUGAAGGGUUUCGGCUCGUAAAACUCUGUUAUUAGGGAAGAACAAAUGUGUAAGUAACUGUGCACGUCCUGACGGUACCUAAUCAGAAAGCCCCGGCUAACUACGUG
rnacentral:rRNA from 1 species